CUUUGUUACAAUUUUCCUCAUCGUCAGUCCACGUAGAAAAUCUUUGAAAUUUCAUGUACAAACUUUUCAUGAGUUUCCUAUUCUGAUUUACAACUAGAAACUUCAUCAAAAAAUUCUAAUUCUAAGGCACUGUAUAAAAUAUUCAUUUGUCCAACAUUGUUUUUAGGUAUGUAACGAGAAACGCAAAUCCCUAAAUUCAAGUGGUUUGUCUCUCUCUUCAAAAAUUGUUUUGCCCGUAACCUCUUCAACGGUUGUAUUCUGUCAUUAUCACCCAAAUCAUUACCAUCACUGUCCCUCCUUCGCGUCUAUUCCCCUUCGUUACUGAAAACUCCUACAACCAUCAUUGAAACUCCUGCAACCUCUUUCCCUUCCUGAUCGUGUGCUUCUAAUCGCCAUUAAUUACCAUCAGUUUCCCCUUUGAGUUUCUUCUGUCUUUUGCUCUCUCUCUUUCACGCUCUCUGACCUAUUUCCAUUUCUAACGACCUCCCUUUUCAUAGUUUCCAUCCACAGGUGCUUGCUCCGAUCUACUUUGGUGGGUUCUGCUAUGGUUCUAAUGCAAGCAUAUUAUGGCCUGCGCUCGUCCACAAGCUGUUUUGGGAAUAUUAUCGGCACUGUCUGAUGUUAUUGGGUGAAUAAGGCAACAAUCUGUUCUGAUCUGGAGAGAUUUAUUUAAUAUACUGAUAUCCAGUUAUGCAUAAGUUGGGUAUAUCACUGUAUUGUGAUGCCAAGAAUCUUCAAAACAGUAGGCUUAGGUCCAACAAAAGUCAAGUCCUUAAUAGCUUGCAACAGAAGUGGUGUUCGUAUGGAACCUUAUUGCAGCAGAAUGACUUGCAGAUAGGGGUUACAAAUGUUCAGAACAGUUUGAUCUUAGCAAGAUAUGUACAACAUAGGUCUAAGCUAGCUUGUCUAGUUCAAGGGAGUGGCUAUUGGCUGAAGCAGAGCAGGGGGGCUGUGCAUCGCUGUUUCAAUCAUGGUGUUGAAAAUAGUCCUCAUUUGACCAGAAAUUUUCUUGCACAACUUUGGAUUGCAGAGAAGAAGAUGAUAAAGUACAGAGAAAAAAGAAGACCAAAAUUUGUUAAGUGUAAGGGUAGCGGUGAAAAAGUUUAUCAUAAUCCUUCAUCCUUCCAACACGCACUUGGAAGAUGGUUUGCAGGUUCAGCUGUUCCAGACAAAAAAUAUUACGAGGGUGAUAAAACUCUGAAGCAACCACCAGUAGGCCAAUCUAUUUCUGGUUUUCUGAAACCAACAUCUCGAGAGGAGGCAAACAAUUCAUCUUGUAUGGAACUGGCCAUUACCCAGCAAAUACCAAGUAAGCCAUAGACCAUAGUGCAUAGCACGUGAGUGAUAGGAUUAUUACUAAAAGGUAUGCUUUCUAUAAUUCCCUUGGCACCAGAAAUAUUAGUGGCUUAUAGCAUCUUUGCUAUCUGUUUUGAUAGAGUUAGAAAUUUAGAGUUAGAGAUUUAUAGUUCCAAGUCCUUUUUUUUUUCAGUGCCGCAAAUGGCUUGGGGGACCUCAUUGGUAUUUGAUCUGAUUUAUAAAUUUCUCCUUGUUUUGUAAUAUGGGUAGCACCUCUUGGUCCUUGUUAACAUACUUUUCUUUGCUCUUAAAAGAUGAACUGAUGGAAAAAUGAGUUGAAAAGUGUUGCCUAGCAUAAUGCUAAGAUUAUUUGCUAUAACUCCAGAAUCACUCUUUUCCAAUUGUGACAUCAAUAUCUCUCUCAUUAAGUUGUAGAUAUUUCCAUUUAAUUCUGUAAUUAUUCUGUAACAGUAUAUAGUGUUUUUUAUGCAUAAUUCACUAGUGUAUGUAUAUAUAGAUAUUCAUAUGAAAUAAAACAAGAUAGAAAACCUUCUUCCUCUAGUUUCUUCUUGGUUAAUUUUCAUCAUGGUAUCAGAGUGAAGCCCUUGAUCAUUGCACAUUGUACAUAUUCAACUACUGAUAAUAUGCCUGAUUGUUCCCAAAGGUAUGGGUGCAAUUGAAUAAUCUUAGAUCGGUGUUGG